GCCUGGAUGGCUCAGCGGUUGAGCGUCUGCCUUUGACUCAGGUCAUGAUCCCAGGGUUUGGGAUCGAGUCCCACGUCAGGCU
rfam:Canis lupus familiaris chromosome X, whole genome shotgun sequence.